GUGCCUGCUGACCAAGUGAUUGACACCGUGCUUCUUUUUCAACUGCCAAACAAGAGAAUGGUAUCUCUGCGUUUCCUGGCCUGGCAUUUCCUUGGACUGAAGAUCCAAUCCAAGAUGCACGACUCCAUCGAGGAUGCGAAGACGGCGCUGCGUCUGUACCGCAAGUACCAGCAGCUCGAGAGGGAAGGGCGUGUCACGGAGUCCCUGAAGGAGAUGUACGAGGCCGGCCGCAAGUCCUCGUGGAAGGUUCCCGGCGCCGACGAGGAAUGACAGUGCGACCACCUCUGGGCCGCAGUGGAAGGCUGCUGGCCCAGCCUCGACUCCCAGUGAAGGAGGUCGGGGGCAGAGAGUACGACACCGCAGUUGCCAGUUUCGUUGCCUAACGAGUUGCCUGGAGGUAAUGACCUCAAGUUCAAAGUGCACGGAUGUCCAUUUUGCGGGGUUUUUUAUGCGUUGACCAUUUGUGAGUAUGUAACAUGUAAACUUUUGUCUAAUUCCUGCAAGGCUACUGCAUUAUUCUAUGUCAUCUUCAUAAGCAAAGCGCUCUGGCAUAUGGAAAGCCUUUUCCUUGACGGGAUAGCCUUUUCCCAUUGGUUAAAGGAACAUCUCACGAGAAACCACGAAAUAUCCAUGUCACGAAUGGCAAGAAGUGAUUUGU
rnacentral:lncRNA from 1 species